rnacentral:misc_RNA from 1 species
AAAAUACAUAGGUAAGCAACAAAUAAUAACUAUCAUGGAAUGCAACAAAUACACUUGAAUUAAAUUUUAUGAACAAAGGAAAUGAAAUCCAAAACUGGAGUCUAACCCAAAACCUGAUGAUCGCCUAGAGUCCACAACAAACAAAACAAAUACCCAAAUCCUAGCUAAAUGCAUCUAAAUUAUAUAAAGCAAGACAAUUCAAUUAGCAAAUUAAGCAUCCACCAUAAAUCAAUAUAGAUCGUUGCAUUAAAAGAACUUAAAAUAAUGAAAAUGAAAAAACAAUUGGGGUUGGAAACUAAAAACAAACAAUUACAGCUAAAUCACUUCAUCAUCAACCUAACACCAGAACUAAAAAAUGAAAGGCAAUACUCAAUUAAGCUUUUGGAAAAGAGAACGAAAGCGAAGUACAAAGAUAGACCCACAAAUUGACAGAAAG